ACAUACACAUCAUUAGGUCCA
rnacentral:siRNA from 1 species